GCCCUCGUGGCGUAAUGGUUAACGUUUCAGACUUCUAAUCUGACUAUCCCGGUUCGAGUCCGGGCGGGGGUG
rnacentral:tRNA from 17 species